UUCAUUCCCUUACAAUAAUCCCCUCCUCUUGAGUAAUACAAGUACCUCCCUUUCCUAAAAUUCAUUUCAGAUCCCAAAGUUGGGAUUGUGUCGUUUAUCUCCUCAUCACGAACUGAUGGUGCAAUUUUUGGACUUUUUCCAUCACUCUUAGUAGCAUUAACUUUAAUCCUUUGCCUCCUUGCAUUAAUGCCUGAAUGCCAACCACUUGCGUGCACAAUUUUAUAAGUACAGUUUUCCCCAUUUCC
rnacentral:misc_RNA from 1 species